rnacentral:rRNA from 1 species
CCUACGGGUGGCAGCAGUGAGGAAUAUUGGUCAAUGGGCGAGAGCCUGAACCAGCCAAGUCGCGUGAAGGAUGACGGCCCUACGGGUUGUAAACUUCUUUUGUCAGGGAGCAAUUGAGUCCACGUGUGGGCUUAGCGAGAGUACCUGAAGAAAAAGCAUGGGCUAACUCGGUGCCAGCAGCCGCGGAAAUACGGAGGUUGCGAGCGUUCUCCGAUUUGAUUGGGUUAAAAGGGUGCGUAGGCGGAAUAUCAAGUCAGCGGGAAAUAGUCGGGGCUAAACCCCGUCGUGCCGUUGAUACGGGUGUGCUAGAGUGUGCGAGAGGGAGGCGGAAUGCGUGGUGUAGCGGUGAAAUGCAUAGAGAUCACGCAGAACUCCGAUUGCGAAGGCAGCAUACCGGCGCCCGACUGACGCUGAAGCACGAAAGCGUGGGGAGCGAACAGGAUUAGAUACCCUGGUAGUC